rnacentral:lncRNA from 1 species
CUGCCCUUUUACACAAACUCCAGAUGUCUGACUCCCUGAACCUGACCGUCCUAAUUAGCAGAGCCCUAAUCUUUCCUUGACCAUCUCCUGUUCAGAAGUAGAGAAGUUAUCCAUCAACAGUCCCUGCCUGGAAAGAGCUUGGCUUCUGCCCUCCACGUGGCAUGCGGAUUUCCUUUUAUCUAAGAGAAAACCUAGAUGAUACCUUGGGACCUUCUAUCAAACAAAUACCCCGGCCCAUAGAUGAAGUCCCACACUAUACCCUGGAAUCUGACAACUCUGCUUGAGAACAGGCACCAUCAUGGGUAUCACCGACCCAACUCUGGACAACAUAUGGAUGCAUGCUGCAUCCAUGAACUGUUCACAGGACUCUGGAAACCCCUUCUUUCAUUAAGCAAACAUCUUAAUAAAACGACCUGCCCUCUCCUGCUGUGCAUGUGCAUUGCACACACAGUGGUAAGGCUGAUUGUGCUUAUCCUGACAUGAAUGUCCACAGAGGACUCUGGGCACAACUCUACCACACUAGCAGCAGAUGUGAGUCACUGGAAUAAGUUCUUCAUCAGUAAAGGUGCUGAAAUGUGGAGUCCAAGAGAGCCCCGGCUCUGCACAGAGAAGACACCUGGGAGAUGCUAAUUGAAGACUGAAGAAAAAUGAGAGCAAUUCCAUGGUCUCUGAUCUAAAUUAUACAUUCACCCUCUCCUGGCUCUUUGAGACACAUAAUAGAUGAAUAAAAAGAGCAAAACUUUGGAGCA